UGGGGAGUCGUCUAACUGGUCAAGACACUGGGUUUUGGUCCCAGCAAACAGGGUUCAAGUCCUUGCUCCCCAGCCU
rnacentral:tRNA from 1 species